GUCCAUGCCCUAAACGUUGAUUACUCGUUGUUGGCGAUACACUGUCAGCGACUAAGCGAAAGCGUUAAGUAAUCCACCUGGGGAGUACGAUCGCAAGGUUGAAACUCAAAGGAAUUGACGGGGGCCCGCACAAGCGGUGGAGCAUGUGGUUUAAUUCGAUGAUACGCGAGGAACCUUACCAGGGCUUGAAAGUUAGUGACCGCUGCCGAAAGGUGGCUUCCCUUCGGGGCACAAAACUAGGUGCUGCAUGGCUGUCGU
rnacentral:rRNA from 1 species